AGUGAACGCUGGCGGUAGGCCUAACACAUGCAAGUCGAACGGCAGCACAGUAAGAGCUUGCUCUUACGGGUGGCGAGUGGCGGACGGGUGAGGAGUACAUCGGAAUCUACUUUUUCGUGGGGGAUAACGUAGGGAAACUUACGCUAAUACCGCAUACGACCUACGGGUGAAAGCAGGGGAUCUUCGGACCUUGCGCGAUUGAAGGAGCCGAUGUCGGAUUAGCUAGUUGGCGGGGGAAAGGCCCACCAAGGCGACGAUCCGUAGCUGGUCUGAGAGGAUGAUCAGCCACACUGGAACUGAGACACGGUCCAGACUCCUACGGGAGGCAGCAGUGGGGAAUAUUGGACAAUGGGCGCAAGCCUGAUCCAGCCAUACCGCGUGGGUGAAGAAGGCCUUCGGGUUGUAAAGCCCUUUUGUUGGGAAAGAAAAGCAGCAGGUUAAUACCCCGCUGUUCUGACGGUACCCAAAGAAUAAGCACCGGCUAACUUCGUG
rnacentral:rRNA from 1 species